rnacentral:rRNA from 1 species
AACGGCGAGUGAAGCGGGAAGAGCUCAAAUUUGAAAGCUGGCGCCUUCGGCGUCCGCGUUGUAAUCUCGAGAAGCGUUUUCCGCGCUGGACCAUGUACAAGUUCCUUGGAAUAGGACGUCAUAGAGGGUGAAAAUCCCGUACUUGACAUGGAUGCCCAGUGCUUUGUGAUACGCUCUCCACGAGUCGAGUUGUUUGGGAAUGCAGCUCAAAAUGGGUGGUAAAUUCCAUCUAAAGCUAAAUAUUGGGGAGAGACCGAUAGCGAACAAGUACCGUGAGGGAAAGAUGAAAAGCACUUUGGAAAGAGAGUUAAAUAGUACGUGAAAUUGUCGAAAGGGAAGCGCUUGAAGUUAGACAUGCUUUCUGGAAUUCAGCUUUGCUUUUGCAGGGUGCAUUUUCCAGUUGGCAGGCCAGCAUCAGUUUUGGCUGUCGGAUAAGGGUAGGAGGAAUGUGGCCCCUCGGGGUGUUAUAGCCUCUUACUGGAUACGGCGGCUGGGACUGAGGACCGCAGUGUGCCUUUAUGGCGGGCCUUCGGGCACCUUCACACUUAGGAUGCUGGCGUAAU